rnacentral:rRNA from 1 species
UAAUACAUGCAAGUCGAGCGAAUGACGAGGAGCUUGCUCCUCUGAUUUAGCGGCGGACGGGUGAGUAACACGUGGGCAACCUGCCCUGCAGACUGGGAUAACUUCGGGAAACCGGAGCUAAUACCGGAUAAUCCAUUUUACUUCAUGGUGAAAUGUUGAAAGGCGCUUUCGCGCCACUGCAGGAUGGGCCCGCGGUGCAUUAGCUAGUUGGUGGGGUAACGGCCUACCAAGGCGACGAUGCAUAGCCGACCUGAGAGGGUGAUCGGCCACAUUGGGACUGAGACACGGCCCAAACUCCUACGGGAGGCAGCAGUAGGGAAUCUUCCACAAUGGACGAAAGUCUGAUGGAGCAACGCCGCGUGAGUGAUGAAGGUUUUCGGAUCGUAAAACUCUGUUGUAAGGGAAGAACAAGUACGUUAGGAAAUGAACGUACCUUGACGGUACCUUAUUAGAAAGCCACGGCUAACUACGUGCCAGCAGCCGCGGUAAUACGUAGGUGGCAAGCGUUGUCCGGAUUUAUUGGGCGUAAAGCGCGCGCAGGUGGUUUCUUAAGUCUGAUGUGAAAUCUCGCGGCUCAACCGCGAGCGGUCAUUGGAAACUGGGGAACUUGAGUGCAGAAGAGGAUAGUGGAAUUCCAAGUGUAGCGGUGAAAUGCGUAGAGAUUUGGAGGAACACCAGUGGCGAAGGCGACUGUCUGGUCUGUAACUGACACUGAGGCGCGAAAGCGUGGGGAGCAAACAGGAUUAGAUACCCUGGUAGUCCACGCCGUAAACGAUGAGUGCUAAGUGUUAGGGGGUUUCCGCCCCUUAGUGCUGCAGCUAACGCAUUAAGCACUC